rnacentral:lncRNA from 1 species
CUAACCACACGUCCUUGCUCAUAGGUAACUAACCACACCACCACGCUCAUAGGUAACUAACCACACCACCACGCUCAUAGGUAACUAACCACACCACCACGUUCAUAGGUAACUAACCACACCACCACGUUCAUAGGUAACUAAACACACCACCACGUUCAUAGGUAACUAACCACACCACCACUACCUUGUUCAUAGGUAACUAACCACACCACCACGCUCAUAGGUAACUAACCACACCACCACGCUCAUAGGUAACUAACCACACCACCACGCUCAUAGGUAACUAACCACACCACCACAACCUUAUUCAAGGUAACUAACCACACCACCACCACCUUGUUCAUAGGUAACUAACCACACCACCACUACCUUGUUCAUAGGUAACUAACCACACCACCACUACCUUGUUCAUAGGUAACUAACCACACCACCAC